UACGUAAGUGGCGAGCGUUAUCCGGAAUUACUGGGCGUAAAGCGUGCGUAGGCGGUUUAGUGUGUGGGAAUUGAAAGCCCGGGGCUCAACUCCGGAUCCGGUUCCCAAACUGCUAGACUCGAGAGUAUCAGAGGAGAGCGGAAUUCCCGGUGUAGCGGUAAUAUGCGUAGAUAUCGGGAGGAACACCGGUGGCGAAGGCGGCAUCCUGGACCGGUAUUGACGCUGAGGCGCGAAAGCUAGGGGAGCAAACGGGG
rnacentral:rRNA from 1 species